rnacentral:lncRNA from 1 species
GGAGUGGCACGGAGAUGUAGGGCGCCCCUUUUAGCUGCGCACAGAACGAAAGAACUCGUUUUUUCUUUAAUACCAGGAUUCUUUGGGCGGUGAGUGCCAGAGGGCCCCAGUCACCCAGAACCCCCACCCCGAGUCAAAGCGCUGAAAUGAGCCCCGCGGCAGGGGCCGUGUUCAUUACCUUUGAAAAUGCUCAGUUCUUCUUCGGUCCAGGGCGGGGCAGAAGGGAGGAUGCAGAGGGAGAAACAGGAUGAACUCAAACACAGGAGAUAGGAGAUGAUUUGGAUGAAGUGAUAAAGAAAAGGCUUCACUCCAAGAAAAAAAAGAAAAAGAAAAGAAAAUGAAAAGACCUGCAGGAGCAAGAAGCCCUUUCCAGGGUGUGCUUAUGAGGAAGAAGGGAAUUAUGGUGAUAGCUACCACUUAAGCACUUACCUUGUUCCAGGUGCAAUAACGGUGUUUUACAGGCAUUAUUUUAUUUAGUCCCCCAAAAUAAAGCUAUUACGUACCUUUUUAUCAUUACCCCUAAUAAAACUAAUGAUUAGACUGUUUAAAAACCUACCUGGGUCAUACGGACAGUUACCAGUGGACCCAAGAUUCAAACCUUUGUAUUUCAGAGUCCAGAAUAUAUAUUUUUACCCCUACUUUGUAGGAUAAGAAAAUGCAGCCCAGUCAACCAGCCAAGGUCUACCAUUUGCUAUAGGACACGAGAUGACCAAGGUUUCACAUAAUAAUGGUAAUUCAGUUCUGCACAUUAGCUCUCCCUGCCAUCAUCCAUCCGGUUCAUAGAAGUGGACAGGAUAUGAGGAAGGCUUCAGUGAUCACUGUCCUAGCCAGAUUCUGCCCCAGGACCACAAGCUUAAACUCCAGAUGCCCAAGCCCCGGCUUAUAAAUGGUUCCCCUCGCCAUGUUUCCCAAGCUGUGGAGGAGUGGGAAGGUUGAGUGGAGGAAGGGAUAUCUGCCUCCAACCACGCUAGACCCGACCUGCUGUCACCGCCCGCCCCAGCUGGAUCCAGAAUGGAAACCUGGAAUAGCAGGCAAAGCCACCCCCGACACUCCAUGUUCCUCCCCAGAACCAGCUCCCUCUCCUACCAGCUGAAUUUUCAGGACAGAGCUGCCAGGUGGCCAGUCCACAGGUGGAAGUGGAAGGAGAUUGAAAGGACCUGGGAAGAGGUUCAUUGGUCAUGGUGCCUGGCUGGUGCUUUCCAAAGCCAAGGUUGCUGGUGUGUGCCUGACAGUUCCAUAGGAAGUAGGGACUUCUGGGAGGGAGGAGGAGGUGGAAGGUGCCCUGGUCAGCAAAGUGGGGUCCAAGCCUUCUAGUCCCAACUGGGCACAUCACUUCAUCUCUGAGAGUCUCAUUUUCUUCAGCCACAACUAAUGAACAAAGUCUCCUUCAGCUCCCAAAUCCGAAUAGCUUUAAGGAUAUCCCCUGCUUGCUGCUUGUUAUUAUGUCAGGCCCUGUGCUAAGCGCUUUGCAUAUAUUACCUCAUUUAAUCCCCAUUUUGGAAGUCAGGAAACAGCCUCUGAGACAUUUUGUAACUUAGCUAAGGUCACUCAGUUGACAAAUAGUGAAGUGAUGGGAUUCAGUAGCCUCUGCUGCUAGCCACUGCCUCAGGGCAGGUAAUUAUUUCUAUGAAUUCAGCAGGGCCAAGCCAACUAGACUAAGCAAAAGAAAUGAGGAUCCAAAAAAAUUCAUGCGCUUUUUCAUGCGCGGUGAAUGCAGGAAAAGUCAUAUAUAUAUAUGGCUAUGUAAAUCAGCAACUGCAAUAUUUGAAUCAGCAUGAAUAAAAAACCAUUCCUCUGUCUCUUAAAAAAAUAGGCAGAUCUGUUUUCUUCUUCCUCAUUUCUAUCUGAGCCUCUGUACCAAGGAGAAACGGGAAUAAGACAGGACUAGAUUCUUCCCAAACACCAGGUGAUGCGGUCAGUGAGGAGAGCUCCAGAAUCAAAAGAUGAAGAAGGACCUGCCUCUAGCCCCCAAGAGGUAUGCUGUUCUUCCCACACAUCUCAGCUCUCUCCCAGCACUGAGUCCAGCCCUCCACAGAAAGGGGAGGAAAAUGCCCACCCCUAGCCCUGCCCUUCCCCAACCCUCCACACAUCACUCCUUCUUCUUCCUGCCCUCCUGCACAGUCUGAUAAUGGUGCUCUCUCUUGCUCAGCCCUUUAGCCCUGCAGACCUAGGACAGGGCAUGACUUGGGAAGGCUCCUGUGCACAGGGUGCACUGGAGGAGGUGCCCCAGGCCCUGGGCCAUGGAGAUAAUUGUGUAUCUGCUUCUCUUUUACCUUUUGGGUGGGUAGCCUCUCCUUUUUUAAGGGACACUGACUUCAACCAUGUCUACUAAUCCCUCAGUAUGGCUCCCUGGGCACUCAAGAGCAACAGUUCCAGGCAGGGACCCCCACAUCCUACUCUAAUUACUACUGCAGACACAGAGGAGACCAAUUCCAUUCCUUCCCUGGCCUCUUGGAUUCUUUGUUUACUCACCUCUUUCCA